rnacentral:rRNA from 1 species
CCUACGGGGGGGCAGCAGUGGGGAAUAUUGGACAAUGGGGGGAACCCUGAUCCAGCGACGCCGCGUGAGUGAAGAAGUAUUUCGGUAUGUAAAGCUCUAUCAGCAGGGAAGAAAGAAAUGACGGUACCUGACUAAGAAGCCCCGGCUAACUACGUGCCAGCAGCCGCGGUAAUACGUAGGGGGCAAGCGUUAUCCGGAUUUACUGGGUGUAAGGGGGGCGUAGACGGCGAUGCAAGUCUGAAGUGAAAGGCGGGGGCCCAACCCCUGGACUGCUUUGGAAACUGUAUGGCUGGAGUGCAGGAGAGGUAAGUGGAAUUCCUAGUGUAGCGGUGAAAUGCGUAGAUAUUAGGAGGAACACCAGUGGCGAAGGCGGCUUACUGGACUGUAACUGACGUUGAGGCUCGAAAGCGUGGGGAGCAAACAGGAUUAGAUACCCUUGUAGUC